UUUUUUUAGUGCUGCAGUACACAAAUGGAUAGCUAAUGCUAAUUCAGCAGCUGCUAAGCUAAUGCUAGCUUAGUUGCAGUGCUGGUCCCGCCUUACCUCUUUCCUAUUUUGUGCCUUUCGGUGUGUGUUUAUUAUCUUGCAGACAACUAUAACUUCUGUAACAUGACUAUUCAUAUUUGUAGGAACAUUAGAAUGUAAAUAUAACAAUUGUAUUUUUAUACAGGUGGGCACAUCAUCGGUAGCCUCAGACCGAGUUCGACAGAUGUUGCCGUUACCAUGACAACAAGAAAGCCAUUUACCUGACCUUUAAUGCUAACUAACGCCUGUUGGACCAGGGGCACUUCAAGAAAAAGACAAAAGACACGAAAGUUGAGAAAUGUGAAGCUGAUGUAUAGCACAGAUACACAGGAACCACAAGUGCGUUGCAUGGAAUAGGAAGAUUAGCUGCCAGGCCUCCCUAUCAACCAUAACCAGGAACCUGUUGACAUGGAUACACACUCCCACAUGGCAUUAGCCAAUCGCAGCCCUCGAGGGCACAUCCAGGCAUGAAUUUUAUCAGGUCUCCAACAUACUGUAAGUCCUUUCAGCUGAAUAACGUUUGUCAUAUGGGCUUACUCGAUUUGGUUUCUCCUCACUGGCGCAUGUGGUGGUCGUCACAUGUAGUUUAAUGGCACCACAAACAAAGCAUAUUUCGAACCCCAAGGGCCCUUUUUGACCUACAGUGAUUGUCGGACUUGUACUUGCAGGUAUCCCUGUCAGCUUUAUGUUUGUCUGCUGUUCUUACAAGUUAAGCAUGUAAGCCUAAUUGUCAUGCAUGACUGGAACUGUGUAUGCGGUGUGUUGACAUGUGCCUAAAUAGACAUGUGCAGAGGCACGAGGUGUGUUAAUCAUAGACUUCAGCCACUUGCACCGUAGACAUUCACCCCGGGGACCGAGGUCUCUAACCAUCUCCCGCUCUAUAAUAAGCAGCCUGUCUCAGCAUCUGUUACACAGCAGGGUGAGUGAGCACGCGGCACGGACCACCAUUACAACUGGCCCACUGCACAGUGGCACAGUGGGCCACACGGUAUCUUAAAGCACCUGGGUGACCAGAUAAGACUAAGAAUAAAAGGAAGAGGGAGAUGAAUUAACCCA
rnacentral:lncRNA from 1 species